rnacentral:rRNA from 1 species
AUUGAACGCUGGCGGCAGGCCUAACACAUGCAAGUCGAACGAGUGGCGGACGGGUGAGUAAUGUCUGGGAAACUGCCUGAUGGAGGGGGAUAACUACUGGAAACGGUAGCUAAUACCGCAUACCAUCGGAUGUGCCCAGAUGGGAUUAGCUAGUAGGUGGGGUAACGGCGCACCUAGGCGACGAUACCUAGCUGGUCUGCGAGGAUGACCAGCCACACUGGAACUGAGAAACGGUCCAGACUCCUACGGGAGGCAGCAGUGGGGAAUAUUGCCAAAGUGGCGCAAGCCUGAUGCAGCCAUGCCGCGUGUAUGAAGAAGGCCUUCCGGUUGUAAAGUACUUUCAGCGGGGAGGCGUUACCCGCAGAAGAAGCACCGGCUAACUCCGUGCCAGCAGCCGCGGUAAUAC